rnacentral:rRNA from 1 species
UACGAAGGGUGCAAACGUUGCUCGGAAUUACUGGGUGUAAAGCGCGUGUAGGCGGCACACCAAGUCUGUUGUGAAAUCGCCCGGCUCAACUGGGCGGGGUCAAUGGAAACUGGUGAGCUGGAGGACGGUAGGAGGCGAGUGGAAUUCCCGGUGUAGUGGUGAAAUGCGUAGAGAUCGGGAGGAACACCUGUGGCGAAGGCGGCUCGCUGGGCCGGUCCUGGACGCUGAGACGCGAAGGCGGUGGGGAGCAAACAGGGA